rnacentral:misc_RNA from 1 species
CCAGGUCUCACUAUCCGAUCCAUCUCCGCAGCUACAUCUAUGAGGUCGCACCUUUGUGUUAGAGUUUUGAAGAGGAAGCUGGAAUGCAAUACAUCAUAUGUUCGAGGAUAGGUACUAAAUGAUUCACACCAGUCGUGAUAAAUUCCGAUUAGCCCUCUGUCGAAAAUAAUGGACAGAGUAUCNUAACAUUCAUCACCCAGUAAGGAAGAUCAACUAGUGCUGCUGCAAAUCCUCCAUAGCCAGCAUUCAUAUCCAUUAUAUUCCGCACACUUGACCAGUUUAUAGCAUCUGCAUUCAGAUAAACAUCAGAUACAAGCACUGACCAAUGUCUGGUGUCCUCGUAAAACGUAUCU